UAAUAUAAAGCCUGCCAGUCCCUCAUUUACUCACUCAAUCCACAUAGUCUGCGAAAGAGCAACAACUGCUGAACACCAUGGCGAAAAAGAUCCUCUGUCUUAUUCUUUGCACCGUGCUGAUGACUGCCGUUUUGGCCCAAGAUAAAGCGGUUCAAUCUGAGUUGCUGAAGGACGUGGCCAAUCGACUGGUUGAUGAUGCUGAAAAGGGAGGCGCAAGACAAGGGAGAGGUUUUGAUAACGAAAGCCCGAUGCGAGAAAUGGAUAAGAGGGAAUUUGAGGAAACAAUCUACGACCCAUAAAAAUUGCAAUUACACACAUACAGACUAGAAACAACAGACAAACCAAACAUAAAUAUGCUGUUAAACUCUCGUAGAAUUUUUUCAAACUUAAUUGAAACUUGAAAGUUUCCUUUUGUAAUUAUAAAUAUACGUAUGUAUAUACUUCAGGAAAUAAAGAAAAGAAUUCAAAAUAAGCAUGAAA